AGUGAACGCUGGCGGUAGGCCUAACACAUGCGAGUCGAACGGCAGCACAGUAAGAGCUUGCUCUUACGGGUGGCGAGUGGCGGACGGGUGAGGAAUACAUCGGAAUCUACUUUUUCGUGGGGGAUAACGUAGGGAAACUUACGCUAAUACCGCAUACGACCUACGGGUGAAAGCAGGGGAUCUUCGGACCUUGCGCGAUUGAAUGAGCCGAUGUCGGAUUAGCUAGUUGGCGGGGUAAAGGCCCACCAAGGCGACGAUCCGUAGCUGGUCUGAGAGGAUGAUCAGCCACACUGGAACUGAGACACGGUCCAGACUCCUACGGGAGGCAGCAGUGGGGAAUAUUGGACAAUGGGCGCAAGCCUGAUCCAGCCAUACCGCGUGGGUGAAGAAGGCCUUCGGGUUGUAAAGCCCUUCUGUUGGGAAAGAAAAGCAGCAGGUUAAUACCCCGCUGUUCUGACGGUACCCAAAGAAUAAGCACCGGCUAACUUCGUG
rnacentral:rRNA from 1 species